GGUACCGUGUCCAAGUGGUUAAGGAGAUCGCCUGCAGAGCGAUUAUUCGCAGGUUCGAAUCCUGCCGGUACCU
rnacentral:tRNA from 1 species